rnacentral:rRNA from 1 species
GACAGAGGGUGCAAGCGUUAUUCGGAAUUAUUGGGCGUAAAGGGCGCGUAGGCGGCCCAUCAAGUCGGAUGUGAAAGCCCAGGGCUCAACCUUGGAAGUGCAUCCGAAACUGAUGAGCUAGAGUUCACGGAGAGGGUGGUGGAAUUCCCAGUGUAGAGGUGAAAUGCGCAGAUAUCAGGAGGAACACCGGUGGCGAAGGCGGGUCUCUGGGCCGAUACUGACGCUGAGGAGCGAAAGCAUGGGUAGCGAACAGG